UUGUUAGAUAUAGCUCAGUUGGUAGAACAGGACACUCUUAAUCUCAGGGUUGUGGGUUCAAGCUUCACGCUGGGCAAA